AACCAGCACCUCAAGUGGUCAGGAGGAUUAUUGGGCCUAAAGCAUCCGUAGCCUGUUCUGUAAGUUUUCGGUUAAAUCCACUAGCUCAACUAGUGGGCUGCCGAAAAUACUGUAGAACUAGGGAGUGGGAGAGGUAGACGGUAUUCGGUAGGAAGGGGUAAAAUCCUUUGAUCUAUUGAGGACCACCUGUGGCGAAGGCGGUCUACCAGAACACGUUCGACGGUGAGGGAUGAAAGCUGGGGGAGCAAACCGGAUUAGAUACCCGAGUAGUCC
rnacentral:rRNA from 1 species